GUGACGGAUGGCUUUGCCUCUGUGACAUCCGGGUACUGUGGAAUUCUGAGAGCGGAGCGGAGUUCUAAUCGCACAGCGGCAGCUGCUGGGCGGCGGGGUAGGGAUGGAGAACCUGCGGGCCGCGUGCCUGCAGAAUGGGAGUGGAGCCAGGGAGUGGUAUACACACACGUUACCCUUCCAGGCAGGCUCUGGAAAUCAUGACACUAGGGUAGCCAGCCUGGGUCGGACCUGUUGCUGGAGUUUCCUCACAGGACAUAAUCUUUAAUUAAAGAAUCUUGAAUUCCUGGAGACUCCAGGACAGAAUCCUUGGGGGUUGGCAACCCUAUGAUCAGGUCACAAGUAUUGCCUCACACCAGCCUGAGUCAGGCCCUGGUCCCCUCCCCGUCACAAGUGGCUUAAAAACACCAUGAUUUUAUCCAGCAAUGUUGGGUGCUGGACUCUUUUUCUUUGCCAUCUGGGGUCUGAGAGCCUUUAAGGGGUGCACACGCUCCGGCUUUUCUCCACAGCUCUGACAAUUAGAAAUUUAAUAUUUUUUUAAAAAAAUGAACACAGUCUCCCCCUAAUCCCUUGUCUGAAGGAGUUGGGAUUUUAAGAAAAAUCAUACAGUGCGAAACUCACCCAGAAAUCAAGUGGGCUGGCAUCCCUGAGGUUUUUGGCUAUAGUCUUCUGAUCUUCAAAUUCAGUGAGAAGUUGCCCCUGAAACACACACAUGCAGCUGCAGUGCACUUUGAACAUCUGAGGGGAGAGGGGUAUAAAAUGUACUCACAAACACUGGAGUCUGCCUGUGCCUCAGCGGUGAGAGGGGCAUGCUCCCUUUUCUGCCUCUAAAAUCCUCACCACAUAGGGUUGCCAGUUUUGGUUGGACAUAUUCCUGGAAGUUUCAUCACAUGACAAUCUUUAAUUAAAAGAUUAAUCUUUAAUUCCUGGGACUCCUGGACAAUCCUGGAGGGUUGGCAACACUACUCCCAUGCCAGUUCUAUUCUGAAAACAUUCUCCCCAGUACCUCCCUGUCUCCCAAUGCUGCCCUGAAUCGUACACCCCUGCCCACAUAUGGAAUCCAGCAAGCAUGGGGAGCUUUCAUAGCCCUUGAGAUCAGACAGGACCAUUAGAUCAUAUUGUCUGAUCUUCUGUCUAAUCCAAGCCACAGAAUUUCAUCCAGUUACCCCACCAUUGAGCUUAGCAUUUGACUAAAGCAUACCUUCCAGAAAGGUCUUGCUGGUGACCCCCCAUGUCUCUUGGUAGUGGGUUUCAAUAGUUAAUCACCCUCACUAUUAAAUAUGUCUCCCUUAUUUCUAAUUUGAAUUUGUUCAUCUUCUAACCUUUGGUUCUUGUUAUGCCUUUCUCCAUUAGGUUAAAGAGCCCGUUAGUACCCAAACUAAAGGGGUAUAUUGUAAUCAAGUCGCUUCUCAGUCUUCUUUUUGAUAAAUAGCUUGACUUCCUUAAGUCUUACUGUAUGGCAUUUUCUCUAGCCUUCAAAUAAUUUCAGGCUCUUUUCUGCACCAUCUCCAAUUUUUAACAUCCUUUUUAAACUGUGAACAGAAGUGUACGCAGUAUUCAGUAUCCAUUCCAUAUCCAAUUCCAUAUAGAGUGGUAAAUCCACCUCCUUACUAAUCUUCAUACAUCCAAGGACUUCAUUAGCCCUUUUUGCCAUUCCAUCGCACGAGGAGCUCAUGUUUAGAGCCCUGCAUGGAUACAAAAUGUGUGUCUGCAUCCAAUACGCAAACAUAGUCCACGGAUGCGGAUAUAAAGCAGAUAUCCACAGAGUAGAGCAGUGCUCUACUCAUAUUGAGUUGCUAUCUACUGCAUCCCCUACAUCUUUUUCAGAGUCACCGCUUUCCAGGAUAGUCACCCAUUCUGUAGGGAUGGUCUGCAUUCCUUGUUCCUACAUUUGGCUGUAUUAAAAUUCAAAUUAUUUGAAUGCAGUUUAUCAAGCAACCCAGCUUGCUCUGUAUGACUGCUGUGUCCUCAUGAUUAUUUACCAUUUCACCAAUCUUUGUGUCAGAUACCAAUUUUAACAGCAGUGAUUUUAUAUUUACUUCCAUAUCGUUGAUGAAAUGUUGAAUAGUGUCAGGUCAACUACCAGUCCCUGCAGAUCCCCACUCCCAUUCAGUGAUGGUUCCUCAUUGACCAUAACUUUUUGAGAUCUGUCCAUUAGCUAGUUCUUAAUCUAUUUAAUAUAGCUCCAUAAAAUAACAAUGAAGCCUAUUUUUAACCAGAAUGUCAUGUAGUACUAAGUCAAGCACCUUACAGAACUCUAAUUAUAUUACACCUAGACUGAUGGCUUUAUCAACAAAAUUUGUAAUCUCAAAGAAUGAAAUCAGAUUUGUCUGAAUGUAAUCAGGGCUUCUUUCCAGCAAGCUGAGUUUGCAAAGAGUACACUUAGUUCCUUUUCUUCCCCUGCUCUGCCAAUAGAUCACAUUUGGUGUUUAGCCCACUCCAGCUUGGUGAAAUGAGGGAAAAGGGUUUGAGUUGUUGCUACCCUUGCAUUGGAUGCCUCUGGGUUGAUUCCUUGCCACUGCCCACUCUACACAUAAGAAAGGCAAAGAGCAGCAGUGGCCUCUGGUGGCUGUAGGCUAGAACUGUGCUAAUGUUGCCAAUAUCUGCAGUAGUAAACCACAUACAUUAGCCAGUGAUAUGGCAGCUGUUUACAACAAGCAUCUGCUAACUGGACUGAGAAAAAACACAAGAGGUGACAACUGCAUAUGUUCAUUACCCUGAAGCUAUUAGCCUAUAUCACAUCUUGCCACAUUGCCAUGGAUCCCUUUUGAAAACAACUGCACUUCUCUUUUGGUUGUUUUCAAACGUCUCAGGCUCAAGCGCAGAAUAUUAACACAUAAGAAAGAGAAAGAGCUAAGACACUGCCACAUUUAGGCUUUAUUACUUCCUCUACGUAUGCACAGUCUUCUCUCAUUGAGCACUUCCUGAAAAUAGAGUUCUCAAUGAGUAUGUCUACACAGCAGCUGGUAGAUGUAAUUCCCAGCUGAGGUAGAUGUACAUGCACUAACUCUGCUCAAGUUAGCACCAAAAAAUAGUAGUGAGGCUGUGGUGGCAAGGGUAGUGUCUUGGGCUACCCACCCAAGUACGUAGCCAGGGGGUCAGGAGGGAUAAUACUCAAAUGGCAGCUCAGAUAGCCGCUCAUGUUGCUACACCCAUACUGCUAUUUUGAGGCAGUAGCUCAAGCAGAGUUAGCAUAUAUACCAGGGGGUGGCCAACCCGUGGCUUGUGAGCUGCAUAUAGCUCUUUGACAGUUAAAGUGCGGCUCUCAGAGCCCCCCGUGCACCCCUAUUCUCGGCCUGCCAGACUGGUCGGGGGCAGCUCGGGGCUUCUGCCUGCAGCGGGGUGGUUGGGCAAGGGGCUUCUUCUGUUCAUCAGGGAGGGGGGAUCUCGGGGCUUCAACCCCAUGGGGCACGCUUGCUGGGGCUCAGGGCUUCAGCAGGAGUGGGGCUGAAGUCCCAAGCCCCAGUCGGCACCUCCCAUGGGGCUGAAGCCCCGAGACCCCCGCAGCCCAGGGCAGAAGCUCCUAGCCCCACCACCCCACCGCAGGGCUGAAGCCGGGAGCCCCAGCAGGUGCACCCUGGCUCUUGAACUUCUGAAGGUUGUCGUAUAUGUCUCGGAGGCUCAGGAAGUUUAGCCACCCCUGACAUAUACAUUUACCUGAGUGCGAAUUACACCUCCUAGCUUCCAUGUAGAUAUGCCCUAUGACAUUACCCUAUAUCUAGGCAUACUUAUCAUACUGUAAACACCCCUUACUAGGAAACUAUCUAUUAUAACACAGACCGUAAGCACAGAAUGGUUUAAAAGAAAAUUUGCUUUUAAAUAUAUUAAUGAACUCUAUGUGGUUGCAUUAGCAACAGAAACUUGUUAAAGGUUGCAGACUAUAGGCCUGAGCCUAUACCACUGAAGUCUAUAGGAGUGUUGUUUUUUCUUCAUAGACUUCAAUAGGAGCAGGAUCACAAUCCUCUGUUCUCAGUGCACUCUGCAUGAAAGUUGGAGGGGAACUGGAUUAUUGCUGCAUUAUUCUACCGUGGAGGAGUGGAAGAUACUUGCUAGCAUCAGAAGCUGGAAUGAGCAGCUGUAAGAAAAGUCCUGUACAGCUCCAACUUGAAGCAUGCUCAUUGUGGACAGAAUCUUCAGAGAAUUUAGCUGCAAAACUCUAACAGGUGUCUACUGAGCAUGUGUGAAUUGUGGUUUCCAGAGACUCAUAAUUUGGCUAAGUGUGGGUGGAUUUUCUGGGGGGACAUUAAAAGGCACAUCCCUCCAUGAGUAGUGUGACACACACACGCGCUAAAUUUCAAAUCCCUGCUCCAAAGCAUGGAGGCACUAGCGCUUUUCUGUGAAACAGUUGUAUGAAUUUUUUUAAAAACAUAGACUAAACAAUGUAUUACUCCCUAAUUUCAUUCUUCAGUACCACUGAAGCAUUUUUCCCUGAAAAUUAAAAAAAAAGUUUCUGGCAGACACCUACCCAUGAAACAUUUCGGACCAAACAGUUAAAAUUUGGCAAAAAUUAUAAGCAACUGAAGACAGGGUCUCAUAACAGGAAAUGAUAGGCAACCUUACUGUAGGUACACUAUCAUUUCUGCCUCUAUGAAUAAGAAUGAAAAUAAUCUGGUUAAGAAGUUUCAACCCCAUCCAUUAAUUCCUUCAAUUCUAUCUCAAAAAUAAGGAGCUUUAAUAUCAGAAACUGCUUUUCAGGUAUUGUUGUUGCAUGUAUAUUUAUUUAACUAGAGUCAACUUGGAAUGGCUGUAGUCUAAUCAACUCCUUGUCUGCUUCCUCCACCAGCAGCAGAACUAGCACGUCAGAAAACAUGGCUAUCAUUUGUGAAGGCAAGUGCCAAACUGCAAACAGUUUUAAUUCACACUACUGAAAGCAGUGACUGUAUAUGCAAAAUAUGACAUCUGAGAAGUAUAUAACAUUUGCCUUGUAGAAGGACUUGCCAAGUAAGAGAGGAGAUAAAUAAGCAACUAGACUAAUGGAAAUAACAGACUUAAAACUGAAAGGGACAGAGACCAAACAGAAUACAGUACCUAAGAUAUAUUUGAAGAAGUGUACUAAGAAUGGAAAACAUCUAGCAGAGAGAGUCAGUGAAGUAUGUGGCAAUACAUUUAAUUAUCUGGAGAGCUGGUUGAACAAGUUGUAAGAAGUUAGUGAAAUGAAUAAUAAUUAGAAACACCUGAUAACUAGUAAAAUAGUGUUUAGAGGGAAAAAAUAGAAUCUUGCAGUGCUAUUAUCUUAUUAUCUUAUGCUAUUAUCUUGGACUCCCUCUGGGUGUUGUCUUCUGUUCUAUUUUCAUUCCAUCACCUCCAGCCACCUACUUCUAUGCUGGAUGCAAGCAGAUGUUCUUAGAAAUGUAGAUCUCUGGAGCUGCCUGUGAUAGUCUGUCCACUUUUUUUCCCCCUCUCAGUUGCAACUUUCCCAGCCCCCACAUUGUCAGGAUAUUUAGCCUUCAUUAGCUGAGAUAGAUGCUUGUGAACUUUUCUGCCUAAUUGUCAAAAAGAUUUUCUUUUUUUAAAGGUAGUGGUAGUCAUAGUUGGGACAGUUACAGGCAUAUGCUAUAACAGAUCAAAUAAGAAGUAAAAAUCUUGAUCAAGCCAGAGGACACAUGAGAGAAGUACUACCUGAGUUUUCAUUAAACAGAUCUGCUGUAUAUAUAGAUUCUUAUGUGUGUAUGAGGGAUUCAAAGGAGCUGCAAAGAAGCCACAUUUUCCCACCUGAAAAUUCCCUUGUCACAGGGAAAUGCUCAGCUGAUGCUAAUCUGAUUUAGUGAACCCCAUCCCCACCCCCAGCUCCCGCUCUUGUGCAGGUGGGGAAGCAAAACUGCAGGACAGUACCCUUCAGCUAUACCCAGCUGGUGUGCAUUAAAAUCACCUCCACCAGGGUUUAGGGUGAGGUCAAUCUGCCCUGAGAAUUAUGGAGCCGUAACUACCCUCAUCUCUUCCUCUUUCUUUGCUGUGCCAAAUGAAUCUGAGCCCCAGUCCAUAUUAGAUACUCAUAUGGCCUCAUUACAGUAAUAUCUUAGUACCUCACAAUCUUUAAUGUAUUUUAUCCUCACAACCCCCUGUGAGAUAGGGAAGUGUUAUUAUCCUCAUUUCAUAGGUAGGGAACUGAGGUACAGAGAGAUUAAGCGACUUGCCCAAGGUGACACAGGAAGUCUGUAAUGGAGCAGGGAAUUGAACCCCAUUCUCCUGUGUUCCAACUUAGUGCCCUAACUAUUGGACAAUCUGAUAUAACUGGCUGAGGAAAGGUAUCAAACAGCAUCAUCUGUUGUCCCUCGAUGUAGUUGCAAUCCAAGAUUCUAUAUGGCUGGAGCUGAUUAAAGUACAAAAGAAACAGGCUACACCUUAAAAUGCUUAUAACCCUUGCUGAAUUGCCAUGGGAAUCUUAUAACUGUGGUGCUGGCAAACCAGCUAACCUGUACAUGAUCCUUAGAGGCUUAACAAGUGGCACUGCAGUUGUAAUCAGGACAAUUCACUUGUGUGUGGGUAUCAAAGAAAUGUUAAGUAGACCAGCAAGCACUAUCCCAUUCAUUUGUAGUAAUAGGAAUCAAGAGUAGAUGCUAAAUGUGUUUGUCUGUGUACCUAUGUCUUGUUUGAAGUUUACCAAUGUCAUCAAAUUAGCUUUUAGAUGCUAAAUCCUUUUUAUGUCUUAAUUGUCUUUACAUUAUAUAUGCGGCUCUGUUCAGUCAACCUUAAGAUCAAAGAUGUAUAAACACUGCAUGAACUAAUGAUAUUACUUAUAUUGUCUUCAGCUUAUCUAUCCCUAUUAUAACAAGUGACCAGCAAUUGCCUUAUGUAAAUCAGUGUAGAGGAAUUACCUGUGUAUGCAUAGGAAAUGUUAUGUUAACUUAAAAGGAUGGGUCCUUGUGGGCUCAAUAAAGAGGAAUCUUUGAACACGUGUAGUGCUCAAGAAACUUGGUAGCUUGUUUCAACUAUAAAAGAGAGGCAUUGGGUAUGAUCCUGUAAUCUCUAGUCUGCUGAACUUUUAAACAGGGAAAGUUUAAGCCAUUAAAUGGAGAUCUCCAAGUAACUACUUGGAUUGUUCUGGAUAAUUCAUGGAAGGUCUCUAACAGACUCUACAUCUAAGAUGUUCUUUGGACUCUAAUCUUUUUUGGGUGAUCCAGAGAGACUUAUUGCAAGCUAGCAGAUUUAACAUCACUGCUAUUAUCCGGAUCUACAAACUCUGAAAUUAACUGUAAUGUAUAUGAUUCAUUUUAACCUCUUAAUAACUCUUCCUUUUUUAUUUUAAUAAAGAUUUUAUGUUUUAGUUAUUAAAGGAUUGGUUAUCAGUGUGAUUUGGGGGUAAAAUCUGAAAUAUAUUUUAACCUGGGGUGUGUUUGAGCCUUUGUGAUUGGAAGAACUUUAUAUGUGAUUUCUGUUUUUAAUAAUUAUUUAUCACAGAAAUCUGGUUGUCUGGGUGGUAAACCAGGGACUGGGAUGCCUAAGGGGACUGUGUUUGGGCUUCUUGUUAACCAGUGGUGAUCCAGGAGCUCACUUUUGUUACUGGCUUGGUGAAAUCUAAUUCUAGAAUAAGCCACCAGUUUUGGAUUGUUUCUUACAGUCUGCCCUGAAUUUGGCCUUCUCAGGGGUGACCCAUACCAGCAUGACAGUAACAAAGGGAGUCACCUCACCAAUAUAGUGAAGGGAGAUACCCUGUUGAGAAGAGGCUAUUGAAGAGGAAUUACAUCCUUUAGAAUUUGAUAAUCCAAGUGAAUUAAACUGGACAAAAUCUUCAGUGUCAGGCAUUUCCACUUCUGAAGCCCCAGCUUCCAAGGCAUGAAUGUCUAUUGACUUCCUCCACAAAUGAUUUUCAACACUGUUAAAAUUAUAGAUUUGGGGUACUUCUGGUGGAUGAAAUAAAAAAAAAAUCUGGUCUCAGGUUUUGACUCUUGUGGAUUUUUAUUCUGUUGAAGCUAAAAAUUCAUAACUUAAUUUUGGAUUUUCAGUUCUACUAUACUAGUUACAAUAAAGAAUACUUGUGGUAAGAACUUUUUAUGAGCCAUAGUACAAUGUAAUAUUGUGUAUGAUAUCCACAUGUCCAAGAAUGAAUAUCACAGGAUAGAAGUGCAGGAACAGUUAGGGUUAGAUUAAUUCAAUUUAAACUAUUUCUCUCCCCCUACCUCCCAGUUGGGUCUUGGGAUAGAUGCAAAAUUAAAUUCCUGGCUAUUUGCCACUAGAAUUUAUCUUGGAAGACAUUAGCAGAAGGAUUCUGUCCCUACUAUGGAAGAGUGUAUGGAGCCCCUGGGUACUUGUCUUUCAAUGAGCAAAACUGUGUAUAUGAUAAGUAGAUAGAAGAAGGCUGUGUCAGUGGUUAGACUACUGGCUUUUGACCUAGGAGACCUGUGUUCAAUUCCCUGCUCUCUCACAGACUGCCUGUGAGAGUUUAGGCAGUCAUUUAGUCUUUCUGUGCUUCAGUUUCUCAUCUGUAAAAUGGGGAUAAUUGUACUUCUCUACCUCACAGGGAUGUUGUGAGGAUAAUGAUUGUGAGUGAUCGGAUGCUGUCGUGAUGGGGGUUCUUCUAUCUAUUUAUUAUAUAUAUAUAUAUCUCCCAAAAUACAGGACUCUGACAUAGGUACUAUAUAAUGCUGAACAGUAUUAGAGUUAGUAUGGAAAUCAAGAAUAUUGUCUUUCACCAUUCUUGUAUGAAGACUGUGCAGAAUUAUUGUAGCUACUACAACAUUCAGCUUUAAAACUCUGAAGUCCUACUGAAUGCUUCUAUGCAUUGCACAUUGCAAUGGCCAAGUCACUCCUCUUUAAGUCCUUAGUAGCUUUUCCUUGUCCAAACUACAAUGUGUCAUGUUUGAGCUUCUUUACUACAUCUUUAAAGCCUUUCACAACUCUGUUCCUCCCUAGUUAUCUGCUCUAUCACCCCUCAACACAUACCCCACCAACGAUGCCAACCUGAAUGGCAACACUCUGCUUCACCCACAAGUAUGUGUGUGUGCUUCUUUCCGUGUUUAUGUAUGGCAUGCUCGUCCUGAACCACUCCAUAAAGUUACUAACCUGUCCUUCAGUUCUUCUUAAGAACUUCUCCUACAAUUAUGUCUGCAGGAGAUCAACUGAUAAUGGCUAAGCAGAAAAACAGUGAAGAUUGCUGAUAUUUAAAACAAAGAUUUUAUAGUAUACAGAAUUAUGAACGUAUGCAAAAAGUAAAUGCAUAAUCUGUAUUUAUUUCCUGUUAUUGUUAAUCUGAUCCUCCUAUUUCAUGACCCUCCUCCUGGUUGUUACAUUCACUUGUUGCACCUGGUCUUAAACUAGAUAGAAAGACAUGGUCCAUACCCGAAAGAGCUUACGGUUUAUACAGUAAAAGAACGACACCCACUCUACUCCCCUGGAAGUCAAUGAGAGUUUUGCUGUUGACACUGAUAGGAGCAAGACCAGGUCAUAAAAGCAGCAUAUUCAAAAUUAUACUGACAGGUACACCUUCUCGUCUGCUGAAUAAUUCAUGCCUUUAAUUUUAGUCCUUUCCCUCAUGUGGGCAGUCUAUCAACAAUAAAUCUAGUCACACCACCUAAAUUAUAAGAUGAGAAAUAUAUGUGAGUAUUCCUACUUUAUAAAUACUCCCUCCCCUGGGCAAAAAAAUCAGCUCUCCAGUCAGAGAAAAGAACAUCAAUGCUAUGUGCAGCAACAUAAUGAGAGAGUAAAGGGUUCAUAAACCGUCUCUGAAUAAAUAGGUUCACUUUUUUUCCUUUUAGGUAUUUGUUUACUCAAAUAUUCUUCACUGACUUGGUCUUUAUUUUCAGAACUAAGUUAAACCUCUAGAGGCCAUGACAGGUCAAACAAGGACUUUCAUCACAGAGAUGAUAUCAAGCAACCCUUGAAGACUAUGUUCAUGUCGAUAAUCAACAUAAGAGUCCUUAUUGAAUCGCUGUUUGCAAAGGUGCUAAAAAGAAUGAUGCAUUCUGAGGAAUCUGUGAUCAGCACAUUAUAGGAUAUUCUCAUCCGCUUCCAUGAUGAGAUUUUAUUUACAUUUUUAAAGAUUAUUAUUAAUUCACACAGAAAAUUACCAUACAAACUCUUAAGGCAGCAUAACCAGCCCUCAAUAGGAAGGAAAUUAGAGCGCUCACCGUAUUCUUAACUGACUUCUGAUAUCCAAAUCUUACAACAAAUGUGGUACAAUAACAUCAUGCAGUAAUCUUAUUCAUUAGAUUUAGUGAACGGGGUAGAUGUAGUAAAUCUGCAUUGAUAGAUGCUUUUGUGUGUUCAAACAUGAAAGUUAUAUUAAGAAAAGGAUGAAACUGAAUAAAAAAGGUUUCUAAACUUCUCACCUUUUUACUUCUGUUCAGUUCCAUCAAGCUACAUUUUUUCUGGUUCUAAAAUUAACACAUCCCUGCCUCUCAUAACUAAAAGCAUAUGCUAGUGCCAUUUCAGCAUACUGGGAGACCAGCAAUACCAAGAUAAUGGUAAGAAUCUUUUAAAUUUAGUAAAUAAAACGAAGAGGUAUAGUUAAAAGAGGCCAUUAGCAAGUCCCUCUUCUAGAUCUGUCACUAAACUGCCUGCUCCAAAAUAAAGAGUCCAUACAUAUUGGGUUUGAACAUCAUGAUUGAAUAACAUUGUGUAUUUUAUUGAUAAAAACAUUAUGCAUAAUUCAAAUAUAAUUUUUUCUAGUAGUCAUGGAAAAAAUGAUUCACUUAGCUUGAAUAGGUCUGUAUGCAUAAGAAUGACUCAGUAAAUACAGUCCACUAAAAAGAGGCCAGAAAGAAAGAAACACAGUGCCCCUAAUUUAUAUAAUCCAAAAGAAACACAGUAGUCCUAUGUAAUCACAUGACUCCAGGUGCUGGGGUUUCAAGAAAAACAACAGAUGUAGUGAGAAUCAUCAUAAAAUUCUGAGAAGUGACAGUACUGGAAAGAGGCUACCACAGAGCCUCUUCUAGAGCUGUUACCCUUGCAAGUUCUGUUUGAAACACAUUUGUCAAGUCUUUGUCAGAGCUGGUUUACGCUCCUUGAAGUUCAGAAAGGUUCCUGUUUGAAUGAAACCAGUUUUAUUUUGUACACUUAUAACUGAGAGACAACAAGCAAGGACCGAGAGGUUCAUGUCAGUUUGCUAAAACCAAAAAUGGACCUUUGGCAAACACAUUUCCUCUUCUGAACCUGUGAUCCAAAAUAUAAAAGUAAUAAUGAUAACACCCUGCAAUUACAGAAAAUAAUGAUGUACUUGGGCCACUGGCAUGACAAGGCUAUUCUGCAUACUUGUGAUCCAAGAAGGAAGUAAGAAAUAGCUAAAAGUCUAUGGUUAAGGCUCACAUUCUGAAAGACGACAGGAUUACAUAGAUAAGUAUUGCUCACUAUAAGCAUCCAGGGUUGCAGCAUCUACCCCUAAGAAAGUAAUAAUAAAAUACCAGAAAGAUGCUCCCUUCCCAUCAUUAUUUGAACAGACUUGGAUAUCAUCGGUAGGGAGCUGACUGUGGUGGAGAGAGCAUGGAAUGUGAGAGAGGAGGUGUGAUAUAUGAAGGGGGAGGGGGUGGGAAGUAGCUCCCUUUGAUAGACACCCAGCCAGCCAGUUAGCUGUAAAAUCCCUCUUGGUCUGUUCUCUGCUUGCUUUACUUGUAAAGGGUUAACAAGCCCUCAGGUAAAAGAAAAGGAGUGAGCACCUGACCAAAAGAGCCAAUGGGAAGGUAGAACUUUUUAAAAUUGGGAAAGAAACUUUCCCUUUGUCUGUUGUUCUCUGGGCUGCAGGGACACGGAUCAGUAAUGCUGUAACCAGCUUUAAGCCAGGUAUGAUUAUAGAGUAUCAACUCAUACCUCGAACCUACUUAUCUGGAGCCUCAGAUAUGUAAGUAAAAUUAGAGAAUGUCGAAAAAGACAUGAUUUGGGUUAUUUCUUUUAUUUCUUAUUGGCUUGUGGACUCCUCUGUGCUAACCCUAGAUGCUUUUGUUUGCUUGUAACCUUUAAGCUGAUCCCCCCAAGAAAGCUAUUUUGGGUGCUCGAUUUUUGGAAUUGCUCUUUUAAAAUCUAGCAACAGCCUAAGUUCCAGAUGUAUUUUCUUUCUUUUUGUUUUUAAUAAAAUUUACCUUUUUUAAGAACAGGAUUGGAUUUUUGGUAUCCUAAGAGGUUUGUGCAUAUGCUGUUUGAUUAGUUGGUGGCAACCACUAAUUUCCUUUGUUUUCUCUCUCAGCUCUUCCCCGGAGGGGAAGGUGAAAGGGCUUGAGGGUACCCCACAGGGAGGAAUUCCCAAGUGCUCCUUCCUGGGUACAAGGUUGUUGGGAGUUUUUUGUCUUUGGGUGGUGGCAGCGUUUACCAAGCCAAGGUCAGAGAAAAGCUGUAACCUUGGGAGUUUAAUACAAGCCUGGAAUGGCAAGUAUUAAUUUUUAGAAUCCUUGUGGGCCCCCACCUUGUGCACCUGGAGUGACAGAGUGGGGAUUCAACCUUGACAGGAGGCCACAGUGCCUAAUAGAGGAGCCGGCAGCUGAUAAGAGUUUUAUUACAGAAUUAUGUAACAAAGACUGGCAUUGUAAAGGCAAUUUCAUAUUAGUUUGUUCCUUUAGUUCUCAACAACUGUUAGUCCACAUCACAUAACUACGUAUUUCUGAGUUUGUGAGAACAUGUAUGGUUCCCCUGCAGGCAGUGCAGCUGCAGGUCACAUGCAAGAAAAGUCCCAAAUAAGAAAUGACAACUUUUUCCCCCCUCUCAUAUCUGUGAUUCUUAGCACACCUUACUGACUUGCAAUAAGGUACUUCAGAGUGCACUGAACUGAUUGUCAGAGCUACGUCAUGGCUAAAAAGUAACAGCCAAGCUAAGAGGAAACGUUUGUGUUAGAUUUGUUUGUUGUUUUAUUUAUGUUAAUUAUAAAGGCAAGCCCCAGGGAUAGCAUGAGUAUGAACGAUAUUCAGUCUUAGGUUUCAGAGUGGUAGCCGUGUUAGUCUGUAUUAGCAAAAAGAACGAGGAGUACUUGUGGCACCUUAGAGACUAACAAAUUUAUUUGGGCACAGAUAUUCAUCAGGUAUUUGGGCAUACCCACUUCAUCAGAUGCAUGGAGUGGAAAAUACAGUCGGAAGAUAUAUACACACACACAGAGAACAUGAAAAGAUGGGGGUUCCCUUACCAACGCUAACAAGACAAAUCAAUUAAGGUGAGCUAUUAUCAGCAGGAGAAAAAAAACUUUUGUAGUGAUAAUCAGGAUGGCCCAUUUCAAACAGUUGACAAGAAGGUGUGAGUAACAGUAGGUGGCGGGAAUUAGCAUGGGAAAUAGUUUUUAGUUUGUGUAAUGACCCAUCCACUCUCAGUCUUUAUUCAAGCCUAAUUUGAUGGUGUCCAGUUUGCAGAUUAAUUCCAGUUCUGCAGUUUCUUGUUGGAGUCUGUUUUUGAAGUUUUUUUGUUGAAGAGUUGGCACUUUUAGGUCUGUAAUCAAGUGUUCAGGGAGGUUGAAGUGUUAUCAGUGUGCACACUGUGAGGAGGUGGGUGUGAAUGCCACCUGCUUAUAUCCAGGUGCUUCACUUUAAAAAGCAACAAGGAAAGGAAAAAUUAGAUAUUUUGUUUGUUUUAGUACUCUGCUGAAGAUUGCAGGACCAUCUUUUGUCACACAUAAUGCAAAAGGUAAGAAUGUGACACAGAAAGACUUAUUGGACUCUUUAGUAUGACAUUAGCAAUUACCAAAGUAAAGCUCCAAUAAACUUUUGGGAUGGCUGAAAUCCUGACACCUGCUCUAGCCCCUUUAGAUUGGAUAAAAGGGCUGGAGCAGCAUGAAGGUGCACUAAUGGUAUUCCUAUAUUGCAAUGUAAGCCUGGACUUGUGCCUGGGCUCAAGGCAACGCCCCCUUGCAUCUACACUGCAACUGCACUAACCCAUGGUUCAGACCCAGGACCCUGUUGGGUCUGAGCUCAAGUCAAGCCAGGACUUAGGGUCUGAGCCGUAUUGCUUUGUAGUGUAGAUGAGGCCUCGGCUUGACUUAGCUCCCGGGAGUCAUCCGAAAGUAUCCACAAUUCCUUGGGGCAACUUCCUUAGUUCUCUCUAUGCCCACAAUCUACAAUGCACUCUAUUAAAAACAGUGCUGCUUCUUGGUCAUGCGAGCACAGCUAAAUUUUGGUGAAUCUGUGGUGUGAGGCCAGUAAAACUGUGGACUUCAGCAAAAGCACCAGGAGUGACCACGCUUACCAGCAGAUAGCUAAAAAUCUGGCAGCUCUGCAGAUUUUCCGGACAGGUGAUCAGUGCGGGAGUGAAUACAGGAAGACAAGGGAUAAGAAUCAUACCUCAGGUAACUCAGAGCAGCAUGCCUAUUUUAUGAUGACCUUGACUGGGUCCUAGGCACUGCCCCAGCACAGAGCUAACCUUGCUUCAUGAUGACCUGGUGAUCUGGGAUGGCCCUGAAUCAAGAAUGGGGAGUGAUAGAAGCCAGAGGCCAUGGGACUGAUGAGAUCCCAGCCAGAAUCAUGAAAAGACUCUUUUAAUGAAACCAAUCCCAGAGCAGGCUGUGGAUCAGGAUCAACAGCAAAUUCUCAGUCCCUACUCAGAAGAGUUGUUUGAUCCACGUCCCACAAUGAGGAAUAGCCAGCUGCUGAGCCUGCAGAGAACCCAGUGGGGACAGAAGCUGCCCCAGAACUGGUAAGUGCAUGAUUCAAAUAAAAAGUUUAUUAUUACAGUAAUGGAAGGGAUUUCUGCUUUAAGAGGCAAUGCAAAAAUGGUAAGCCCCAGCUACCAGCAUUUGGCCACUAAUGGUGGAUUAUAUCACAGAGCCUAGGCAUCCCUUCCCUCUCCGUCUCCCCAACCCUCCACCAGGGGUAGUUCAAAAUGGCAACGUGGAAUUUCAAACUUUCAUACACAGCUGUAAAGUACGUUUGCUACAGUCAUUCUUGUUUUCCUUUCAGUAAUUAGAAAUUUGCCAUUCUGCAAUCAUUUCUCCUGGAUAUAUGCAGCUACCUGUAAACAGUGAAGAGUGUGUGUGUAUGUGUGUGUAACAGUAUUCUAUUUCCAAAUCUAGUCCAUUGCAGAGGUAAUCCAUGCAGAGGUGGAGUAAAGCUGCAGAUUUCAGAGAGUUUUGCAUUCAUCAAUAACAAGGACCCUCAGCCUAUACUGCCUGCUGUUCUAAGUUCAGGAACUUGAUCCUUGGCCCAACAUGGACUCACGGACCAUUCCAAAAGGAAGUGUUCCCAUGAUGAAGUUAUGGCUGAUGCUCUUGAGAGGGCAGACCAGCAGGUCCAGUACCAGAAGAAGAAGGAUGAAAGACUGGAAUAAUGGCAUGCUGACAGGCAGGAGGCAAGGCUGAGGCUUGCCAUCCAGGUGGAGAACAGGGUUUCAUCAAGGCAGCUGGUACUUGCAAAGCAGUUCCUGGAACAGGAACAGUGGCUAGAGGAGGACAGAGCUCUGCGGAGAGAACUGUUUCAGCAAGUCCUGUCUACAAUGGCUGCAAGAACACUGGCUCCUGCUGCCUCCCCAUAGCCUGAUGCCCCAGCAACAUACCCUCCACCCAGCAGUAGCUUGGACAACUCCAUAUCGGGGCAGCCCAUGAAUUCAGGACUCUUGAGCAGCUGGGCAGGGCAGCUAAAUACUGUGCAGCUUCCCUUCCUUUCGUCCACUCCUCUUGGAUGGAAACUUCCAGCCCCACCCCCAUUGCAAAGUGAGGGGUAAAUGUGUAAAGAAGAGAAAGGAGAACCUGGGACCAGGGGCAUCGGAUUGGGUAUUAACUCUUUCCUGACCUUUCUUUUUGGGUGUGUGGUUUUGUAAGGGCAGCUGGCUUGCACAAGACUGUGUGAGCGGUUUAGUGUUUUAAGAGCUGUUUACAAAUAAAGUAUGUUAUAUUUUCAAGAAA